rnacentral:pre_miRNA from 1 species
ACAACAACAUUGGGACCGUCGGUCUACCGAGCAAUAUCACCCGCUCGGUGGAAGAUCUUCCCUUUGUCGUAUACC